GAUGAACGCUAGCUACAGGCUUAUCACAUGCAAGUCGAGGGGAAACGAUAUUGGAAGCUUGCUUCCGAUAGGCGUCGACCGGCGCACGGGUGAGUAACGCGUAUCCAACCUGCCCAUCACUUGGGGAUAACCUUGCGAAAGUAAGACUAAUACCCAAUGACGUCUCUAGAAGACAUCUGAAAGAGAUUAAAGAUUUAUCGGUGAUGGAUGGGGAUGGGUCUGAUUAGCUUGUUGGCGGGGUAACGGCCCACCAAGGCGACGAUCAGUAGGGGUUCUGAGAGGAAGGUCCCCCACAUUGGAACUGAGACACGGUCCAAACUCCUACGGGAGGCAGCAGUGAGGAAUAUUGGUCAAUGGACGAGAGUCUGAACCAGCCAAGUAGCGUGCAGGAUGACGGCCCUAUGGGUUGUAAACUGCUUUUAUAAGGGAAUAAAGUGAGAGUCGUGACUCUUUUUGCAUGUACCUUAUGAAUAAGGACCGGCUAAUUCCGUGCCAGCAGCAGCCGCCG
rnacentral:rRNA from 1 species